CCUGAAUAGGGUGGGAUUAUAAACUAUAGCGCAUUUUGCGCUGUCGUUACAAGUUCUUAAAGGGACGUUGUGGGCAAUCUAACAGCUUCAUCUCAUUAAAGUGGUGAUAGUGUCUGGAGUCCACUGACACCGUGCUACCAUACAGUGUUAAAACAUUUUUUAAUGGUUUAAAGCUACAUUAGUGUCAGAGAUACAGAGAGACCCAACACACAGUGUGUAAAUAUAAUCAGAAAUAAACGUAUAAUAAACCUUAGAGUGGCUUGGCUUUACGUAAGAGACAGAAUAGCCA